rnacentral:rRNA from 1 species
UACGGAGGGUGCGAGCGUUAUCCGGAAUUACUGGGUUUAAAGGGUGCGUAGGCGGCCAAGUAAGUCAGGAGUGAAAGUUUGCGGCUCAACCGUAAAAUUGCUUUUGAUACUGCUAGGCUAGAAUUAGGAUGAGGUCAGCGGAAUGUGGCAUGUAGCGGUGAAAUGCAUAGAUAUGCCAUAGAACACCAAUUGCGAAGGCAGCUGGCUAGACCUAUAUUGACGCUGAGGCACGAAAGCGUGGGGAGCGAACAGG